UCCGUUCAUCUACUAACUAAUUGGCUAUCGAAGGAGGGGAGGAGCCUCUUCCGUUCAUCUACUAACUAAUUGGCACCACUCGACCACUUAUCGGUUUCCGGAUCACGCAGGAGAGAGGACAGACUUUUUCCCAAAUGAGAAAAGGCCGUCCAUACGUACAGAGAAGAGUCUGUCCUUCUAGCGGUUGAUACUCAGAGAGAUACUAGUCUCUCUGAGACCAGAGGGACAGGUCAGUAAAACACAGAACAAUAAGGGACGAAAAUAGCUUUGAAUAGCUUUUCCCUGAAUAGGAGAAACUCUGGGGCUCCACGCUCACGUCGCUGACUGUCUGUGUAGGAAAACAAUAUGGCCACCCUGCAGUGAGAAGAGAACACCACUCAGCCUGACAACCAGGCUUCAUUGGGUGAGUCUGGGACUACGUCCUAAAUGGCACCCUAUUCCCUACAUAGUGCCCUACUUUAUACCAGAGCUCUAUGGGCCCUGGCACCCUAUUCUCUAUAUAGUGCACUACUUUAGACCAGAGCCCUAUUCCCUACAUAGUGCACUACUUUAGACCAGAGCCCUAUGGCACCCUAUUCCCUACAUAGUGCACUACUUUAGACCAGAGCCCUAUGGCACCCUAUUCCCUACAUAGUGCACUACUUUAGACCAGAGCCUGUGUAGGGAAUAGGGUGACGUUCACUGUCUGCACUGGAAACUGGUGCAGAGAGGAGAGGAGGAGAGAGAGAAAGGAAGGAAAGGAGGAGAGAGAGAAAGGAAGGAAAGGAGGAGAGAGAGAAAGAAAGGAAAGGAGGAGAGAGAGAGAAAGGAAGGAAAGGAGGAGAGAGAGAAAGGAAGGAGAGGAAAACUGGCAGGCAGACUGGAUGACUCUGGGGAGAAGAGAGGAGGGAGGGAGGGGAGAAGGAGGGAGGGAGAUGGGAGGUAAAGAACAAGGAGGGAGGGAGAUGGGAGGUAAAGAGGAAGGGAGUGCGAGAGAAUGCAAAGUGAGGGAGAUGGAUAGAUGUAAAGUGGAAGAGAGGGAGAAGGGAGAGUGAGGGAGAUGGAGGGAGAGAGAGCAGGCAGAGUGAGGGAGAUGUAGGGAGAGAGAGCAGGCAGAGUGAGGGAGAUGUAGGGAGAGAGAGCAGGCAGAAUGUGUGAGGGAGAGAGAGCAGGCAGAGUGAGGGAGAUGUAGGGAGAGAGCAGGCAGAGUGAGGGAUGGAGAGAGACCAGGCAGAGUGAGGGAGAUGUAGGGAGAGAGAGCAGGCAGAGUGAGGGAGAUGUAGGGAGAGAGAGCAGGCAGG
ensembl:lncRNA